ensembl:lncRNA
CACACAUCAAUUUUGGGGAGCCAGGCAGGAGGCACUCUGUUCAGCUGUGGGACCGGCUGGAGAGAGGGGACCCCAUUGGCACACCCCAAGAUUUUUCAGAAGUACUCCCUCCCCUUACCUGAACACUGUAGGAACAGACAAGAACUAUCAGCAUACCAGAUUGACAUGAGGGAUGGGGAAGAUGUGGCCGUACUUCAGUUGCAAUGGAAGAAGCUGAGGUAGCAGAAGCCAUCUGCCUGCAGAAACAUGGAG